rnacentral:rRNA from 18 species
CGAAAGCGAGUCUUAACAGGGCGCUUAGUCAGCAGUAGUAGACGCGAAACUUUGUGAUCUACCCAUGAGCAGGGUGAAGUGUAGGUAACACUACAUGGAGGCCCGAACCAGUAUACGUUGAAAAGUAUUUGGAUGACCUGUGGGUAGGGGUGAAAGGCCAAUCAAACUGAGAGAUAGCUCGUACUCCCCGAAAUGCAUUUAGGUGCAGCCUCGAGGUUGAGUUUUAUAGAGGUAGAGCUACUGAUAGGGCUAGGGGGCUUCACCGCCUACCAACCCCUGACAAACUCCGAAUGCUAUAAAAUAUACUCGGGAGUGAGGGCAUGGGUGCUAAGGUCCAUGUCCGAGAGGGAAACAACCCAGAUUAUCAGCUAAGGUCCCUAAAUGUAUGUUAAGUUGUUCAAACGUGGUUCGAUUGCUUAGACAGCUAGGAUGUUGGCUUGGAAGCAGCCAU